UACGUAGGGUGCGAGCGUUAAUCGGAAUUACUGGGCGUAAAGCGUGCGCAGGCGGUUCUGAAAGUCAGCUGUGAAAGCCCCGGGCUUAACCUGGGAACGGCGGUUGAAACUACAGGACUAGAAUCUGGCAGAGGGGGGUGGAAUUCCGCGUGUAGCAGUGAAAUGCGUAGAUAUGCGGAGGAACACCGAUGGCGAAGGCAAUCCCCUGGGCCUGCACUGACGCUCAUGCACGAAAGCGUGGGGAGCAAACAGG
rnacentral:rRNA from 1 species